CCUGCCAAACUGAGAUCAGGUCAGCAUAGUUCACAAAUCAGGAUGUAUCACUGGGUUUCAUCCCCCUGAACUGGAAGAUUUAUCAUUUCAGAAAGGGCGAAGAAAACUAAAAUAGUCCACUGAUAUUUAUCAUAUUCCCUCUGAUAUUAACAGCUACAUCCAAAUAUGUGAAUUCGGAAGAUUAUUUGAAGCUUGUGAGUGUCGGAACUCAAUAUCAUGACCAUGUUCACUUUGGAUUGGCAACAUGCGAUUAUUAUGAUUCAAAGUUUCCUCCACACGUCCAUAUCCAUUUGAAGUUAUUACCUAUAAGUAAAAAUAAAAAAUAAAAUUAAAGAGUAAUUUCUAAAAACCAACAACAAUAUAAGAAGGAAAAAAUUGAAAACCUUAUUUCUCAUUUACCUGGCCAUUUACACCUUAAAUAGCCAAUACACGAGUAUUAGAAUUUGAAGUUCCCUCCAUAUAUCCAUACCCAUGCAAAGACAAUGCCUAAAAAUAAAAUUAAAAAAAUUUAAUUGAACUUAUGCAAGUAGUUUCUAUAGCAUGACAGAAAAAAGAAGAAGAUGAAAUUAAAAAAAAUGUUGGUUCAUGUACCUGGCCACUUGAACCUUGGAUAGGCGAAGCAAGCAACAUAACUUGUUUGCGGGGUAUACAUUAUGUGCAUGGAAUUAUGCAUGUUACUUGCCUGAAAGAAGGAUAAGGCAUAUAAAAUCUAAAUAAAAUAAAAUAAAAUAAAAUGAUGAGCUUCUAAACCAAAUAAUAUAAAUUAAUAAAGAAAAUGGUAAAAUUACUUACAUUAUGAGUGUGAUGCGUAAAUUGAGGAGAAAUAAUAAUAUGACUCAUAGUAAAGGAAGGCGGAAGUUGAGUAACGUAAACAUCUCUUCCAACAAGUGAUAGACCCCAUAGAUUUAAUUCGUUUGCUCAUUUUGCUCGACUUUUCCAACUCUAACUUCAGUUGAGAUUUUAUCCUUCUUUUUCUUUUACUAGUGCAUGCUUUUUCUUGAAUCCUUUUGCUAUGAUUACAUUUGUAUUGUCUACCUGAUCCAUUUUGAUACUUUCGGGGCAUUUGUUAGAUGGGCUUUGUUCAUCAUUAGUGCUAAUGAUCUUCUCUUUGCGUAGCAAGCCAAAUAUUUAACAUAUUUUUAAUGUUUUCACUUAAAUCAUCACCUUUUGAAAUUGACAAAUUAUAUGUUUCCUCAGUUUCAGAAGCUCUACAUGCUAUCGCUCUGGAUAUGGCCAUCAAUGAUCUAUACGUUGGGUUUGAUGCAAUUUGACAUCUGCCUUAAUAUCAUGGUGAUGCCUAUCUUUCACAUUUUCGGCUUUUGGUUUUUUAGUCCACCAUCUUUAGCUGCCCCAACUAUUGUGGGGUUCCGGCGAACCUCUGGGGGGCCAUUAUGUCCAUCACUUCUCUAAGCACCCUCAAACAAUGACUACACAAAAUGCCAUUCAUUUUAAAUUUUCUACAAUUGUAAAACAAAUAACCAUCUAACUCCUUCGUGACCUUCCUAGUGUAUUUCCUAUCAUGAUCUCGAACUCCGUACACUAUUGUUUGACCAUCACGGUCAUUUCCUUUGAUGCUCGCUUGAAUAGGCUUCAUAUAUUCACCUUGAAACUCCUAAAAAAUCUUGUUCGUGUAAAUAUCUCUUGCUUGCUUUAGGCAAUCCAAAGGCAUUUUCAACAUAGGCAACUUCUGGAUCAAAUUAUACUCUAUUUCUAACUCUUUGUACCGCUUAUCAUUAAACACCCUCUCAAAAUACUUGAAGAAUUGUGUUAAAUUAUGAUCAGAGCUAAUAUAAUCCUUUAAAAAAGUAUUAAAGGAUUCACUAAGUUGUGUACUACUCAUUUAGUACCCCAUGCUGACCUAAUAUAUGGCUAACUCCCAUUUUUUCCUUACCCCAAAAGUCAAACUUAAUCAAUUGUUAUCACGCUGAUCAUAUUUAUCAAGUAUAUCAUGCCAUGCUAAUUUAAACUCACUAUCAGAUUUAAUAUGAUACAUGCAUUUUGAAAGAACACCUUCGACUUCAACCCCCUUAUCAUUGAAUAUAGAAAUUGCAUGUUUCACUGCAUUUUGCAUCAAAUGCCACAUGUAAAGUCGAUGACUUGUAUCAGGCAAAACAAUGGGUAUGUAUGGCUUUGGCCAUUACACCAUCUUGAUCCGUAAAUAUAGUUUUUGGAGUCUUGUUUGACAUUGUUUUCAAAAAUGUCUGAAACAAUCAUAUGAAGGAAUUAGCGGUCUCAUCAUACAUCAAAGUUGCACCAAACACAACCGUUUCUCGGUGAUGGUUAAAUCCAAUGCAAAUGAUUUGUGCUCUUUUUUUAACUUGUAGGUAGUGUCAAAAGUAACCACAUAACCAAACAGGCCACAUUCUACAAUCAUUUGAGUAUCGAACCAAAAUAUAUUUAUUAUCUGCUUCUCAUUAUCUAACUGAAUCGCAUAAAAAAGGAUGGAUUCUAUGAUAAUUUUUUUUGAAAAUACUGCACACACAACCUGCAUCUCCAUAAG
rnacentral:lncRNA from 1 species